AUUCAGAACAGCUGCCUGUUCUGCUCACAGCAGCCUCAAAGUCGAUUGAAAGUUUCUGGCAAAAUACAAAUUAUUUCCUGGGAGGAGAGGGCAGUUCCCCUACAGUCUCUUGCCUGCCGCCACGUAAGACAUGCCUUUGUUCCUUCUUCACCUUCCACCAUGAUUGUGAGGCCUCCUCAGCCAUGUGGAACUGUGAGUCCAUUAAACCUCUUUUCUUUAUAAAUUA